rnacentral:rRNA from 1 species
GAAAAGGGGUUAUGCGAUGCUACCAUGCAGUCGAGCGGAUGAGUGGAGCUUGCUCCAUGAUUCAGCGGCGGACGGGGGAGUAAUGCCUAGGAAUCUGCCUGGUAGUGGGGGACAACGUUUCGAAAGGAACGCUAAUACCGCAUACGUCCUACGGGAGAAAGCAGGGGACCUUCGGGCCUUGCGCUAUCAGAUGAGCCUAGGUCGGAUUAGCUAGUUGGUGGGGUAAAGGCCUACCAAGGCGACGAUCCGUAACUGGUCUGAGAGGAUGAUCAGUCACACUGGAACUGAGACACGGGCCAGACUCCUACGGGAGGCAGAAGUGGGGAAUAUUGGACAAUGGGCGAAAGCCUGAUCCAGCCAUGCCGCGGGUGUGAAGAAGGUCUUCGGAUUGUAAAGCACUUUAAGUUGGGAGGAAGGGCAGUAAGUUAAUACCUUGCUGUUUUGACGUUACCAACAGAAUAAGCACCGGCUAACUUCGUGCCAGCAGCCGCGGUAAUACGAAGGGUGCAAGCGUUAAUCGGAAUUACUGGGCGUAAAGCGCGCGGAGGUGGUUUGGGAAUAUGGAUGUGAAAUCCCCGGGCUCAACCUGGGAACUGCAUCCAUAACUGCCUGACUAGAGUACGGAAGAGGGUGGUGGAAUUUCCUGUGUAGCGGAGAAAUGUGUACAUAUAGGAAGGAACACCAGUGGCGAAGGCGACCACCCUGCACUGAUACUGACACUGACGUGCGAAAGCGUGGGGAGUAACAGGAUUAGAUACCCUGGCAGGCCACGCCGAAAACGAUGUCGACUACCCGUGGGAUCCUGAGAUCUUAGUGGCGCAGCAACGCAUAAGUCGACCGCU